GGGGAUGUAAAGGUUUCGACGGGGAUUUUGAGAUAUGAUAAGCGUGGCGGGCUGACUAAUCCCGUAAUAAUGGUCAAUUUUAAAUAAUAAACGACAACAAUAAAGUUGCUAUGGCUGCCUAACUAAUUGCCCUUUUGGGUGAUUAGCGGCAGUGCUGUGGCUAUAACGCCACCCGUUCCUCUCGGGAGUACCUCGCCCCGAGACUGAGCGUAACACAGAGGUGAACAUGAACCGAGAGUUAGCUCUUGCAUCGGUCAUGCAUAAAAGAGCUACCCAAGAAAUAGCCUGUCUGUCGGCGAUUUUAUUGGGGAACAAUAAAAGAUAGACUAUCCACGUAGAAGGUUGUAUCAACGGAUUUUCGGACGCGAGUUCGACUCUCGCCAUCUCCACCA
rnacentral:tmRNA from 1 species